UCGUUUCCAUUUCUUCACCACCUUCAUAUACACCUCUUGCAAAAAAAUGAAAAGAAAAACCUACUACUACAAAAGUUUCUCUCCACCAUGAAAGUCAAAAGACCACAAUUAUCAUCAUAAAAAAGUACAAACCAACAUCAUAAAAACAAACCUUUUUCUUCAAACAAUCACCAACAUCCUCUCUUACUUCCCUAAACAACUUCAAACACCAUCAUCUUCUCACCUUGCUUCACAACAUCAAUAACAAAAACUUCAUCUCACCACAACAAAAUAUCAACAAUAUUUCAAAUCACUCAUAAGAUCAAAGAAAGGAGAAGAACAAUAGAAUCC
rnacentral:lncRNA from 1 species